UUACACUUAUGCCCCUUUUUUAGGUAUUACAUGUACAUGGCUUACCCACUCACUAUCUAAAAUUGGGAAACUAAUCCCUGCAUCCAAGAUUUUAAUCACUUCAGCCUUCACUACAUCUUUCAUGUGAGGCUUUAACCUAUGUUGAUACUUGAUAGAAGACUUGUAGUUAUCUUCUAUUAAAAUUUUAUGCAUGUAAAGU
rnacentral:lncRNA from 1 species